UGGUGGAGUGAUUUGUCUGGUUAAUUCCGAUAACGAACGAGACCUUAACCUGCUAAAUAGUCCGGCCGGCUCUUGCUGGUCGCAGACUUCUUAGAGGGACUGUCAGCGUCUAGCUGACGGAAGUUUGAGGCAAUAACA
rnacentral:rRNA from 1 species